AUACGGAGGGAGCUAGCGUUGUUCGGAUUUACUGGGCGUAAAGCGCGCGUAGGCGGGCUGGUUAGUUGGGGGUGAAAUCCCGAGGCUCAACCUCGGAACUGCCCUCAAUACUGCCAGUCUUGAGUUCGAGAGAGGUGAGUGGAAUUCCUAGUGUAGAGGUGAAAUUCGUAGAUAUUAGGAAGAACACCAGUGGCGAAGGCGGCUCACUGGCUCGAUACUGACGCUGAGGCGCGAAAGCGUGGGGAGCAAACAGGAUUAGAAACCCCAGUAGUCC
rnacentral:rRNA from 1 species